rnacentral:SRP_RNA from 1 species
AAUGAGCGUUGUGGCGGGCGCCUUUCAGCCAGCUUAUAGGCAGUGGAUUGGUGUGGAGUCCCGUGGCGGUCGUGGUGUAUGACGACCGGGCGUCCACGUCAAGCGUUGCGUCGCCGUGGUGCUAUCGUAGGAGUAUGGUGGUUCCCGAGCGGACGAGAAGGGGUGCACGGCGCACGCCUGUAAGGGAGCAGGCAAAAGCCCCCGCGCGACGCAGUGGCCGGAUCGCGCCCAUUCUCACGUUGCUCAGUGCUCCCGUUGUCACGGCCUCUCGGAUACCUCU